rnacentral:rRNA from 1 species
GAUGAGCCCGCGUACCAUUAGCUAGUUGGUGGGGUAAGGGCCUACCAAGGCAACGAUGGUUAGCUGGUCUGAGAGGAUGAUCAGCCACACUGGAACUGAAACACGGUCCAGACUCCUACGGGAGGCAGCAGUGAGGAAUUUUGCGCAAUGGGGGAAACCCUGACGCAGCAACGCCGCGUGAGUGAAGAAGGCUUUCGGGUCGUAAAGCUCUGUCAAGAGGGAAGAAAGUGGGAGAUGGUAAUACUGUUUUCUAUUGACGGUACCUCUGAAGGAAGCACCGGCUAACUCCGUGCCAGCAGCCGCGGUAAUACGGGGGGUGCAAGCGUUAUUCGGAUUUAUUGGGCGUAAAGAGCGCGUAGGCGGUUUAUCAAGUCAGAUGUGAAAGCCCUGGGCUCAACCUGGGAAGUGCAUUUGAAACUAGUAGACUUGAGUAUGGGAGAGGGGAGUGGAAUUCCUGGUGUAGAGGUGAAAUUCGUAGAUAUCAGGAGGAACACCGGUGGCGAAGGCGACUUCCUGGACCAAUACUGACGCUGAGGCGCGAAGGCGUGGGGAGCAAACAGGAUUAGAUACCCUGGUAGUCCACGCAGUAAA